GACGAACGCUGGCGGCGCGCCUAACACAUGCAAGUCGAACGAGCGAGAGAGAGCUUGCUUUCUCAAGCGAGUGGCGAACGGGUGAGUAACGCGUGAGGAACCUGCCUCAAAGAGGGGGACAACAGUUGGAAACGACUGCUAAUACCGCAUAAGCCCACGGCUCGGCAUCGAGCAGAGGGAAAAGAAGCAAUCCGCUUUGAGAUGGCCUCGCGUCCGAUUAGCUAGUUGGUGAGGUAACGGCCCACCAAGGCGACGAUCGGUAGCCGGACUGAGAGGUUGAACGGCCACAUUGGGACUGAGACACGGCCCAGACUCCUACGGGAGGCAGCAGUGGGGAAUAUUGCACAAUGGGGGAAACCCUGAUACAGCGACGCCGCGUGGAGGAAGAAGGUCUUCGGAUUGUAAACUCCUGUUGUUGAGGAAGAUAAUGACGGUACUCAACAAGGAAGUGACGGCUAACUACGUGCCAGCAGCCGCGGUAAAACGUAGGUCACAAGCGUUGUCCGGAAUUACUGGGUGUAAAGGGAGCGCAGGCGGGAAGACAAGUUGGAAGUGAAAUCUAUGGGCUCAACCCAUAAACUGCUUUCAAAACUGUUUUUCUUGAGUAGUGCAGAGGUAGGCGGAAUUCCCGGUGUAGCGGUGGAAUGCGUAGAUAUCGGGAGGAACACCAGUGGCGAAGGCGGCCUACUGGGCACCAACUGACGCUGAGGCUCGAAAGUGUGGGUAGCAAACAGGAUUAGAUACCCUGGUAGUCCACACCGUAAAC
rnacentral:rRNA from 1 species